CAAUGAAGAGGAUGACCCAGUUGUACAGGAGAUUGAUGUGUACUUGGCCAAGAGUCUGGCGGAAAAGCUGUAUCUGUUUCAGUACCCUGUGCGUCCAGCCUCGAUGACCUACGAUGACAUUCCACACCUCUCAGCCAAGAUCAAGCCCAAGCAGCAGAAGGUAGAGCUUGAGAUGGCCAUCGACACCCUGAAUCCCAACUAUUGCCGCAGCAAAGGGGAGCAGAUCGCGCUGAACGUGGACGGGGCCUGCGCCGACGAGACCAGCACGUAUUCCUCGAAGCUGAUGGACAAGCAGACCUUCUGCUCUUCCCAGACCACCAGUAACACAUCCCGUUAUGCCGCUGCACUCUACAGGCAGCAUCUAUCCAAAAGAAAUGAAAACGUGUCCACACAAAACCAUACACAGUUGUUCAUAGUAGCAUCUUCAUGAUAGCCAAAAAGUGGAAA
rnacentral:sRNA from 1 species